UUCCACCUCAACCCAAACCAUAAUCCCCAAACUCCAUUCCCUCAAACAAACUACUUUUACAACCAACAAUAUCAACAACAAACCAACCUACGCCCACCCAUACAAUACACUCCAAUUCCUCAACCAAACUUUGAAUACUCAAACCCUCAUUCUCAACCCCAACCUUCUAACACCACAUACGCACAUCCCACUCCCACAUACAACCCUGAUGAUGUGUAUUAUCCUCCUAUCCAACACACCCGACCCGAAACCUACACA
rnacentral:lncRNA from 1 species